rnacentral:rRNA from 1 species
AGCGAACGCUGGCGGCAGGCUUAACACAUGCAAGUCGAGCGGGCCCUUCGGGGUCAGCGGCAGACGGGUGAGUAACACGUGGGAACGUACCCUUUGGUUCGGAAUAACGCUGGGAAACUAGCGCUAAUACCGGAUACGCCCUUUUGGGGAAAGGCUUGCUGCCGAAGGAUCGGCCCGCGUCUGAUUAGCUAGUUGGUGGGGUAAUGGCCUACCAAGGCGACGAUCAGUAGCUGGUCUGAGAGGAUGAUCAGCCACACUGGGACUGAGACACGGCCCAGACUCCUACGGGAGGCAGCAGUGGGGAAUAUUGGACAAUGGGCGCAAGCCUGAUCCACCCAUGCCGCGUGAGUGAUGAAGGCCUUAGGGUUGUAAAGCUCUUUUGUCCGGGACGAUAAUGACGGUACCGGAAGAAUAAGCCCCGGCUAACUUCGUG